UACGGAGGGGCUAGCGUUGUUCGGAAUUACUGGGCGUAAAGCGCACGUAGGCGGCUUUGUAAGUUAGAGGUGAAAGCCCGGGGCUCAACUCCGGAAUUGCCUUUAAGACUGCAUCGCUAGAAUUGUGGAGAGGUAAGUGGAAUUCCGAGUGUAGAGGUGAAAUUCGUAGAUAUUCGGAAGAACACCAGUGGCGAAGGCGACUUACUGGACACAUAUUGACGCUGAGG
rnacentral:rRNA from 1 species